rnacentral:lncRNA from 1 species
UGGAGGUUAUUAAAAAAAAAAUGUUUAAGGUUCUGAGAAAUGGUGUCGGGUCCAAAACCAGACCAGAUGUUAGUUCUGAUCUGGAUGGGUUUGUCUGUAACUAGACUAGACUACACUGGAUAUGACCGGAUCAGGAAGAUUGGGUUUGUUCAUAGUCCUCGCCUCAGGCAAGAACUGUUCCCUUCCUCAAAGCCAUUCGGAUGGUUUGAGUUUAUUUGCAAGCAUAGAAAACUGCCUCGUUUCUCAUUAUGCCAGUCUUUCGCCGGUAUCAAACUUGAAGAGAGGCUUUGGUUUCAUUUGUCUCCAGACCAGAGCUGCAUCAACACACCACUGCCCAAAGAAACCAACCCCAGAUCCACUACAGACAUGAUCAUCAGACUGGGCAGGCUGACCCCUGGAUACUUCCGCCUCCUACAGAGACAGGUGGCCGGUGAGGUGCAGACCCAGCCACAGGACCGCGCGGUCAACCAGAUAGCCAUGAUGCUGGCCAUCAUGGGCCUGAGCCUGUCCUACUACAGUGCCAAACGGAUGACCGAGAAGGUCCAGAGGCUCCAGAAGAGAAGAGAUCCCCAUACACCCUGAAGAGACCCCUCCCCCCAGUGCGCCGGUCCGCUUUGAACCUGGAGAAGACGAACCAACGCGGAAAUGAGGAGAGGAGAGUUGUCGGUGUCCAGAACAACACCUUUUCACAACCAAUCAGUCAUAGUCACGUUGUUCAGACACUGGAGUUUUACUGGGAUCACUCUCAAUGUGAGGAGAGUUCGGGGUCUGCUGUUGUUAAGGGUAUCUUAAUUUUUCACCCCAAUGGAUGUUGGGAGGACCUUGUGGGGGAGUGUGUAUGUGGGGAAAGGCCGACGGUGGGGUUCGUGUGGUCCUGAUAAAGUUUGGGGGGUAAAAAGUACAACCAUCUGUCUAUGGUCAGGCUGGGCCCGUGCUUCAGUCGUUGCAAAGGUACAUGCGUGCAGGAUGCCGUCAAUACUGUUCUGAGCUAAAAAGGAUAAAGAAAUGCUAAACUAAUUAUUCUAAUGUACUGUGAAUCUCUUGUCAGUGCUCCAAGUAUAUGACAGUUUGUCUAAAAUAACUGAACAGUAAUUAUUUUUUUAAGGGAACGCUUUCUGCAUUUGAGAUGUAUCUAGUAAUGACUGAAGGUGGGCCCGUAGUGUGGCUGAAAGUGGGGAGAAAGAAAACCUCUUAGGUUUUUGUAAUUCCUUUAUUGUUAAAAAAAAUUAAAGUGAGCCAUGUGAACUAGAUGUGGAGGAGUCUCAAACUGGUCAAUAAUUCCACAUGUUCAAUAUCUGUUAAUGUCAGACACAAACAACCGUACAUUACUGGUGAAAUGCAGUAUUUUAACGUUUUGGGAACUUGCUUAUCCAAAUCUACGAAAAAAAGGCACGUAAAUCACAGUCUUGAUAAAAAUGGGUGGCUUUCUUUUAAAGAACUCGAUCUGCAAUAGCUACUAGGUGUUACCACAAAUAUUCUAACUUCAGUAAACGUUGCAUGGGUGUGCAGCUUUUAAUCUCUUCGUUAAUACUGUCACGUUUAGUUUUUUAAAGGACGAUAACCAUGAAUGUAUAUUUCUGUGAUGUUUUAUAGAAAUCGAAUAAAGCUGUGACUUGAAUAAUAAGAACCGUGGCAGUUUAGCAAUGAUUUGAAGGUGUUUGGGAAUUUUGGAAAAACCGACAUGAACAAGCAUUUUAUCACAAUAUUUAUAUUUUGUUAAGGGGAACUUCUUUAAUCUCAAUUUUUCUGUGAAACGAUG